CCUACGGGUGACAGCAGUGGGGAAUAUUGCACAAUGGGGGAAACCCUGAUGCAGCAACGCCGCGUGAGUGAAGAAGGCUUUCUGAGUGUAAAGCUCUGUUAGCAGGGAAGAGAACGGCGGUACCUUUCUCAGGUUGCCAGGGUUAACUACGUGCCAGCCGCCGCGGUAAUCCGUAGGGGGCAAGGUUUUAUCGGAUUUACUGGGGGUAAAGGGUGCGUAGGCGGUUAAACAAGUUAUAUGUGAAAUGUAGAGGCUCAACCGGGAAAAAGCAUAUAAAACUGUUGAACUAGAGGACAGGAGAGGUAAGCGGAAUUCAUAGUGUAGCGGUGAAAUGCGUAGAGAUUAGGAAGAACACCAGUGGCGAAGGCGACCUACUGGACUGUAACUGACGUUGAGGCACGAGAGCAUGGGGAGCAAACAGGAUUAGAUACCCUAGUAGUC
rnacentral:rRNA from 1 species